CUGUAGUCUCAGCUACUCAAGAGGCUGAGUCACGAGAACCGCUUGAACCCAGGAGGUGGAGGUUGCAGUGAGCCAAGAUCACACCACCGCACUCCAGCCUAGGCAACAGAGUGAAACUGUGUCAAAAAAAAAAAAAAAAAGAAAAAGAAAAAGAAAGAAAGAAGAAAGAAAGAAAAGAAAAGAAAAAAGAAAAGAGAAGAAAAAGUACUGAAUGCAGUGGAAAGUAGCAUUUUUAAUUUUUUAUAAAGUGGAAGAUAGGCCCACAAAGCAAAAGUGCCCAGAGCUGACAAAAAUCUCUGGAGAAAGGACCUCUCUGGUCGUUGCCAAAGGGAGCAGCUGACGCUGUUGUAAAGCCCGCAGCUCGAUUCCCAGCGUGAAGUAGGGGUGGACACUGUGGUGCUCCAGCCAGGUUCUCUGAGAACCCCUGACCAGCU
rnacentral:lncRNA from 10 species